AUUGAACGCUGGCGGCAGGCCUAACACAUGCAAGUCGAGCGGAUGAAGGGAGCUUGCUCCUGGAUUCAGCGGCGGACGGGUGAGUAAUGCCUAGGAAUCUGCCUGGUAGUGGGGGAUAACGUCCGGAAACGGGCGCUAAUACCGCAUACGUCCUGAGGGAGAAAGUGGGGGAUCUUCGGACCUCACGCUAUCAGAUGAGCCUAGGUCGGAUUAGCUAGUUGGUGGGGUAAAGGCCUACCGAGGCGACGAUCCGUAACUGGUCUGAGAGGAUGAUCAGUCACACUGGAACUGAGACACGGUCCAGACUCCUACGGGAGGCAGCAGUGGGGAAUAUUGGACAAUGGGCGAAAGCCUGAUCCAGCCAUGCCGCGUGUGUGAAGAAGGUCUUCGGAUUGUAAAGCACUUUAAGUUGGGAGGAAGGGCAGUAAGCUAAUACCUUGCUGUUUUGACGUUACCAACAGAAUAAGCACCGGCUAACUUCGUG
rnacentral:rRNA from 1 species